CGGCGCUUCGCAGGAGAGUGAGCGUUGCGGUCACCCCGAACGCUCCGCCGAAGGCGCAAACUCCCAUAAUCGCUCAGGCCCAGGAACUGCGAAGAUCCG
rnacentral:ncRNA from 1 species